rnacentral:rRNA from 1 species
CUACUGGGGUUUCUAAUCCUGUUUGCUCCCCACACUUUCGCACCUCAGCGUCAGUAUCGAGCCAGUGAGCCGCCUUCGCCACUGGUGUUCUUCCGAAUAUCUACGAAUUUCACCUCUACACUCGGAGUUCCACUCACCUCUCUCGAACUCAAGACCAGGAGUUUUGGAGGCAGUUCCGAGGUUGAGCCCCGGGAUUUCACCCCCAACUUUCUGAUCCGCCUACGCGCGCUUUACGCCCAGUAAUUCCGAACAACGCUAACCCCCUCCGUAUUACCGCGGCUGCUGGCAC